rnacentral:tRNA from 1 species
GUGCAGCAUGGUCAGGUUGUCGAUGAUCGCCUUGUCGGCGAUGGUCAGGCGGUCGAGCAUGCGCAGGUGCUGCAGCCAGUUUUCCACC